rnacentral:rRNA from 1 species
UUGGAGGGCAAGUCUGGUGCCAGCAGCCGCGGUAAUUCCAGCUCCAAUAGCGUAUAUUAAAGUUGUUGCAGUUAAAAAGUUCGUAGUUGAAUUUCGGAAUCCAUCCGUCGGUCGGGCUUCACGGUCCGCACUGGUGUGAUGGAUUCCUACCUUCUGAAUAACCAGCAUGCUAUUAAUUUGGUGCGUUGGGGAGGCAGGACUGUUACCUUGAAAAAAUUAGAGUGCUUAAAGCAGGCUAGUGCCUGAAUACAUUAGCAUGGAAUAAUGAAGUAGGACGGCAUGGUUCUAUUUUGUUGGUUUCUAGGAUCACCGUAAUGAUUAAUAGGGAUAGUUGGGGGCAUUAGUAUUCAAUUGUCAGAGGUGAAAUUCUUGGAUUUAUUGAAGACUAACUUCUGCGAAAGCAUUUGCCAAGGAUGUUUUCAUUAAUCAAGAACGAAAGUUAGGGGAUCGAAGACGAUCAGAUACCGUCGUAGUCUUAACCAUAAACUAUGCCGACUAGGGAUCGGACGAUGUUAAUUUUUUAAUGACUCGUUCGGCGCCUUACGGGAAAC